ACUCAAAUGAAUAGACGGGGGCCCGCACAAGCGGUGGAGCAUGUGGUUUAAUUCGAUGCAACGCGAAGAACCUUACCAAGGCUUGACAUGGAGACGAAUAUUGUAGAGAUACAAUAGCCUUCGGGCGUCUCACACAGGUGGUGCAUGGUUGUCGUCAGCUCGUGCCGUGAGGUGUUGGGUUAAGUCCCGCAACGAGCGCAACCCUUAUUCUUAGUAGCUAGUAGGUAACGCUGAGCACUCUAAGGAGACUGCCGUGGAUAACACGGAGGAAGGCGGGGAUGACGUCAAAUCAUCAUGCUCUUUAUGUCUUGGGCUACACACGUGCUACAAUGGCCGCUACAAAGUGAAGCGAACCGGCGACGGCAAGCCAAUCACAAAAAAGCGGCCCCAGUUCGGAUCGCAGUCUGCAACUCGACUGCGUGAAGUUGGAAUCGCUAGUAAUCGCGAAUCAGCAUGUCGCGGUGAAUACGUUCCCGGGCCUUGUACACACCGCCCGU
rnacentral:rRNA from 1 species